rnacentral:rRNA from 1 species
AUGCGUACGACGAGAUCCACCAAGCAAAUUAGCAAAACAAUGGGUUGUUGCAUGAGUAGGUUCGUCAAGGCGACGAUCGCAGUCGUCUUGCUCAUCAUGAUCUUCAUGUCCGGCGCAAUGGCGGCCACCAGCUUCGACACCACAAGGAUCCAGCAGGUGCCGUUGUCCCAAGGUCUUCUCCAAGGGCCAGAGAGUGUUGCCUUCGACGCCCAAGGACACGUCCUAUAUAGCGGUGUCUCUGAUGGCCGCGUCCUCAGAUGGAACGGUGACAAGGUAGGCUGGACCACUUACGCAUAUGGCCCUGGCUACGACGAAAACAUGUGCAAGUCUUCGAUAUUCCGCCCGGCAACUUUCACAGGGAGUCGUUGUGGCCGGCCGUUCGGCUUGUAG